ACCUGGGGUUGCUUCAGGUAGUUGUGGUGAUUGUCUUGUUGGCUGGAUGAUUAAAACAGGAAUAAAUUCAGCAUCAUUAGUAUCUACAGCUGAUGUGUGAACCACCUUUGGUUCUGCUCACUCCUCCAGGAGUCAAAGUAGGUCUGAAGGACACGGAGCGGUUUCCUGAAACCGGUGCUGCAACAGGAACCACCAGCUUCUGCACUGGUGGUAGGGUGGAAUCCAUCUGAAUCAGAGAACGAGGGGGACAACAUCGACAAGUUAUGAAUCAAAAGGAAUUAAAGCGGCGGUGUCUGA